rnacentral:rRNA from 1 species
UAUUGGACAAUGGGCGAAAGCCUGAUCCAGCAAUGCCGCGUGAGUGAUGAAGGCCUUAGGGUUGUAAAGCUCUUUUACCCGGGAUGAUAAUGACAGUACCGGGAGAAUAAGCUCCGGCUAACUCCGUGCCAGCAGCCGCGGUAAUACGGAGGGAGCUAGCGUUGUUCGGAAUUACUUGGCGUAAAGCGCACGUAGGCGGCUUUGUAAGUUAGAGGUGAAAGCCUGGAGCUCAACUCCAGAAUUGCCUUUGAUACUGCAUCGCUUGAAUCCAGGAGAGGUGAGUGGAAUUCCGAGUGUAGAGGUGAAAUUCGUAGAUAUUCGGAAGAACACCAGUGGCGAAGGCGGCUCACUGGUUCUGGUAUUGACGCUGAGGUGCGAAA